rnacentral:lncRNA from 1 species
UACAGUUGGAUUUUUCUUUUUCUCUGCCUUCUAAUGCUUGUCACAUGUCUUUGUCUUUUAUCAGAACUGAAUGGUUAUCCUGACUUAGGGAAAACACAAAAGCACGGAGUUAAAUCACAGCAUGAAGUCAAGACAACUGAGCCUGAAAAUGCAAAAGAGUUAAGACAGCAGGCUCCUCUGUGUCAUGCAGGCAUUACUGUCACUGAGAAUGUCCUGGCUUCAGAUUUCUGCCUUCCUCUUUGCUGACGUGAAUCAGAUUUACCUUCUCCAAAAAUUGAUGCUGGAUGGAGGCAUCUCCAGGGGGCUAUGCAAGAUACGCAUUGCAGUAGAGAGAAUUGUUAUUUUCUCUCCAGUGACAGUUUCAAAAUUAACAGGAAAGCUGUUAUCGUCAGCUUGUCCCCAGUACAAAAACUGCCCUGUAAGACAACACAUAGAAGCUGACAGCAAG